rfam:Neurospora tetrasperma FGSC 2509 unplaced genomic scaffold NETTE2scaffold_3, whole genome shotgun sequence.
GGCACUUUGGCGGAGUGGUUAACGCGUUGCCCUGCUAUUACGUAAUAGUAUAGUGUAGGCAAUCCAUUAGUGGGCGCAGGUUCGAAUCCUGCAGGUGUCG